rnacentral:lncRNA from 1 species
CAGUUCCACUCAAUGCCGAUCAGUAACGAGGUUGACCUGGAUGAACUUGUCCUCCAAACUGACACCUACUCAGGAGCAGAGAGUGACAACAGUGCUACAGUUUGAAGGCCAAAAUUAGAUCAUAGCAGUCUGCAAGGAGGCGGCUCUCCUAGCUCUGGAAGAAAACAUUAAAGCUGACUGCAUUAUGAAGAGGCAUUUCACUCAAGCCUUGAGCAUUGUGACACCCAGGAUCCCAGAGUCACUGAGACGCUUUUAUGAAGAUUACCAAGAAAAGAGUGGACUACACACAGUCUAAAAAAUACUUAUGUGCAUAUAUUUUCUAGAGAAAAGUUUGUUUUCAAAUUUUUGUCUUGAGAGUGUUUACUGUUUCUUAAUAGGUAAAUGUUUGAAAUACCUUCACUGGAGUUGAAGAGCCAAUGUUUUGACUCAUUUGAGUAUAAUAAACAUUUCUCUGGGCAGUUCA